rnacentral:lncRNA from 1 species
UGGUGAGCAUUCUGGUAAAAGUAAAGAGAUAGUACCCGAGGAAUCAAGAAUCAGAGUACUUGGAAUUCGACUCCCGAAAUAGUGAGUAACCUUACUAUCGUCUUAAUUAUCUAAAGUAUGUUUUAUUCGAUUUUGUGAAUUUUACAAAAAAUGAAUUAAAUGAUUAAUUUUUCAAUUUUAUAAACCAAAUGUGAUUUAAUGAAAUGAUUUCAUAAAAUUAUUUUAAAAUUGAAUAAUGGCUUUGAAAAUAGAGUAAUUGGAGACCAUUUGAUGUAUUGUGAAUUUAUGGUUCUAAUUGAUUGGCUUAUGACAAUAUUGUCAUGAAUGGCUGAAUUGCUAUUUAUGUUGAAAUGUAUAAACUGUUGUUUGCCUUGAUAGGCUGGAUAAUGAUAAAAUUGUCAUAUCAUGCUGUUGAAUUUUUAUUGUAUGGUGGGUAUAGCUUGCUGCAAUGGGCUGGUUCUGUGGACUAGCCUAUUAGAGGGGCACAGAACUUGGUCAUAUUCUUACAUCGGUUGGAGAGGCGAGUAGGGUAACUCCCAAGGUAUAACUUUAGAGUUCACUUCACACCAAACCACCUCGUGAUGAUGAACUCCGCUAACGCUAAGGAACGGCUAUGUUUUUAAAAUAAAAACAUGAUUUAUGCGUACAUAACUUUUUACCAGCCUUGGCGGACUUGGUUAGGAUAACCCUCGAUCAAGGCAUCCCUGAUAAUUGGGUAUAAAAAUGAUUUUGGUAUGAGCCAAAGUUUUAAGAAAUUCAUAAGCCAUGUUGAUUACUUAAUUUAUAUGAAUUUAUUUUAUUUGAUUGAAAUAAGUUGAAAGGUGAUGAAUUACAGUAUGUUAAAUUAUUUUAUCUGUCUCCAUUUACUCGGCUUUAGAUAUUUUAGAUGGUAUUUGUUUACUCACUGGGAUUAUAUAAUCUCACCAUCCUCCUUUCAACCCAUUUCAGGCUUAGGAUAGUCUAUAGAUAGCUGAUUUCAUCGACGACCACCAUUGGAUUUGCAUCCUCCAAACUGUAAGUUCACAAUUUUUCUUACUUUCGAUUUUUCGAGGGCCCACUUGUUACUGUAAAUUAAAUUAAAUACUCUGGCUUACUGUAUUACGAUAUAUAUGAAUUUAUUUUACUUUUACGUUGUAAAAAAUUAUUUAUGCAGUGUUCUAAAAAUAUUGUUUUAUGAGAAAAUUGAAUAUUUUAUUCAAUAUUUUUAUUUUAUUCUAAUAGUCUUAAUUUCAUUUUAAACGAAUGUUUUAGACAUCCAAAUUUAUUUUUUAUUAUGAAAUAUGUGUUUUUCACCAACAUACUACAUUUUUAACAGAUUUCGAGAUUUUUGAGGAAAAAUUACCAAAAUGCCCCUGUGAGAAAAAAAUUAUUUUUCUAUUGUUUUGAUUUGGAAAAUGUUUAUAAUCUCUCAAAACAUAAUUUUAGUGACUAAUACUCACAGGGGAAGUGAGAAAAACUGAUGUUAAGCCUUACGAGGUUUCGAUUGACAUUCCGAGUAAAGAUGUCUAUCGGGACGUCGCGACGGUUGUCACGAGCUCGAUGGGAGUUUUGGGUCUUGACAGAGAUUGUACUCGAAGACCGAGAUUAGGAGUACCUCGAUUAUUGAUAUUGUGAGUAACCGUAUUAUCAUCUUAAUUAUCUAAAGUAGUUUUUAUUCGUUUUUGUGAUUUUAUAGAAAAAUGAGUUUAAAUGGUAAAUCCUUAUGUUUUAUAAGUAAAAUGUGAUUAAAUGAAAUGAGUUUUAUAAAUCAUUUUGAAAUUGAAUGAUGAUUUUAGAAAUUGAGUAAUUGGAGACUGUUUGAUUGUAUUGUAAAUUUAUGGUUUGAAUUGAAUGGCUUAUGGUGAUAUUGGCAUGAAUGGCUGAAUUGGAAAUUGUGUGGAAAUUGUAUGAACUAUUUGUUUUGCCUUAACAGGCUAGGUAGUAAUAUAAUUGCCAUGUCAUGUUGUCGAAACUUUUAUUGAUUUGGUGGGAUAUUAAUUAGUCAUUGCAAUGGUGGGUUUCCGUGGACCAGCCUAUUAGAGAGGGGCACGGUGUCACGACCCGGUACUCCCCUCGAGCCCUUGACAACCGUCGCGACGUCCCGAUAGACAUUCAUCGCCCGGAAUGCCAACCAGAACCUCGCAAGGCUUUAAUAUCAGUUUUUGCACCUCCCCUGUGAGCAACAGUUGUUAAGUAUCAUGUUUUGAGAGAUUAUAAACUAUUUCCAAAUCAAAACAAUAGAAAAAUAAUUUUUUUCUCACAGGGGCAUUUUCAUCAUUUUUCCUCAAAAAUCUCGAAACCAGCUAAAAAUGUAGUAUGCAAGUGGAAAACACAUAUUUCAUAAUCAAAA